CGAACGGUGACCACCCCAUCUACGAUCAAUUAGGCUGUGGUUAACUACAAAACCUCAGCUCCUGGGUGGUUAAUUGGGGACACACUCCUCAGAUUCUCUUGAUUUCGGGUAAGGAAUGCUCCCCCAGUCGGUAGUUCCCAUCUCCCAAACGUUGUUCGCAAGUUGGUCGGGAAAUAGCACGGGCAGCAGUAUAACCUGUACUGGGGUUCGUGCGAGUCCCUAGCUGAAAAGAAUUCCAGGCACUCGAUGACCAAGUGCUGCUGCCCAUGUUCGGGAGACAAAAUGUCCGCCACUCUUUUGCCGACUACGUGCAUUCGGUUAUAUGAAAUGGCUGCCACCCAGGGGAAGCAUUCAUUAAUUACUUCCUUUGCGGUUUCACACUUAAUUUACCAUGUGAGAAUGUUUUAAUGGGGUACUAGGGUGGUCCUCUUUCGGGAGUCGAAUGUAGAGUGUUCGGAUACCAUAACUCCCGAAUGGAUAAAAGAUAAAAC